rnacentral:rRNA from 1 species
GAUGAACGCUGGCGGCGUGCCUAAUACAUGCCAGUCGAGCGAAUGGAUUAAGAGCUUGCUGUUAUGAAGUUAGCGGCGGACGGGUGAGUAACACGUGGGUAACCUGCCCAUAAGACUGGGAUAACUCCGGGAAACCGGGGCUAAUACCGGAUAACAUUUUGAACCGCAUGGUUCGAAAUUGAAAGGCGGCUUCGGCUGUCACUUAUGGAUGGACCCGCGUCGCAUUAGCUAGUUGGUGAGGUAACGGCUCACCAAGGCAACGAUGCGUAGCCGACCUGAGAGGGUGAUCGGCCACGCUGGGACUGAGACACAGCCCAGACUCCUACGGGAGGCAGCAGUAGGGAAUCUUCCGCAAUGGACGAAAGUCUGACGGAGCAACGCCGCGUGAGUGAUGAAGGCUUUCGGGUCGUAAAACUCUGUUGUUAGGGAAGAACAAGUGCUAGUUGAAUAAGCUGGCACCUUGACGGUACCUAACCAGAAAGCCACGGCUAACUACGUGCCAGCAGCCGCAGUAA